ACCUGGCUGGCUCAGUUGGUAGAGUGCAUGACUCUUGAUCUUGGGGUUGUGAGUUCGAGCCCCACGUUGAAUG
rnacentral:tRNA from 1 species